rnacentral:rRNA from 1 species
UACGUAGGGGGCAAGCGUUGUCCGGAAUCAUUGGGCGUAAAGAGCUCGUAGGCGGUCUGUCGCGUCUGCUGUGAAAAUCCAGGGCUCAACCCUGGACCUGCAGUGGGUACGGGCAGACUAGAGUGCGGUAGGGGAGAUCGGAAUUCCUGGUGUAGCGGUGAAAUGCGCAGAUAUCAGGAGGAACACCGGUGGCGAAGGCGGAUCUCUGGGCCGUAACUGACGCUGAGGAGCGAAAGCAUGGGGAGCGAACAGG